rnacentral:rRNA from 1 species
GAUGAACGCUAGCUACAGGCUUAACACAUGCAAGUCGAGGGGAAACGACAUCGCAAGCUUGCUUUUGAUGGGCGUCGACCGGCGCACGGGUGAGUAACGCGUAUCCAACCUGCCCAUCACUUGGGAAUAACCUUGCGAAAGUAAGACUAAUACCCAAUGACAUCCCACGAAGACAUCUGAAUGGGAUUAAAGAUUUAUCGGUGAUGGAUGGGGAUGCGUCUGAUUAGCUUGUUGGCGGGGUAACGGCCCACCAAGGCAACGAUCAGUAGGGGUUCUGAGAGGAAGGUCCCCCACAUUGGAACUGAGACACGGUCCAAACUCCUACGGGAGGCAGCAGUGAGGAAUAUUGGUCAAUGGGCGAGAGCCUGAACCAGCCAAGUAGCGUGCAGGAUGACGGCCCUAUGGGUUGUAAACUGCUUUUAUAAGGGAAGAAAGUGGGUCUCGUGAGACUUUUUGCAUGUACCUUAUGAAUAAGGACCGGCUAAUUCCGUG